CAGCCGCCACGGUAAUACGAGGGGGGCAAGCGUUGUUCGGAAUUAUUGGGCGUAAAGGGUGCGUAGGCGGUUUGACAAGUCUUGUGUGAAAUCUUCGGGCUCAACCCGAAGCCUGCACGAGAAACUGUUGAGCUUGAGUAUUGGAGAGGUGAGUGGAAUUUCCGGUGUAGCGGUGAAAUGCGUAGAUAUCGGAAGGAACACCUGUGGCGAAAGCGGCUCACUGGACAAUAACUGACGCUGAUGCACGAAAGCUAGGGGAGCAAACAGGAUUAGAUACCCCCGUAGUCCCUGUCUCUUAUAC
rnacentral:rRNA from 1 species